UAGUGUAACGAAAGAGCUAUCUGUUUUACAACGAUGUAUUUUUCUUUUCUAUUAUCGAAAAUAUUCUUACGGGUUACUAAAAAUGCUUUAAUUAUUUCAUGUCACCACUUAAAAGAUGUAAAUUGACUAAUCGGUUCUGUAUAUGAGUGGUUCGGAUUUCGAGACAUAGGUUUUGUUUUGAAUGUACACGUUCAGAGUUUUCUUUUUCUUU